CUGGUUGAUCCUGCCAGUAGUCAUAUGCUUGUCUCAAAGAUUAAGCCAUGCAAGUCUCAGUACAAGCCAAAUUAAGGUGAAACCGCAAAAGGCUCAUUAAAUCAGUUAUGGUUCCUUGGAUCGUACAAUCCAUUACUUGGAUAACUGUGGUAAUUCUAGAGCUAAUACAUGCAAACAGAAUCCCGACCAGAGAUGGAAGGGACGCUUUUAUUAGAUCAAAACCAAUCGGAGUUUCGGCUCCGCAAUUCUUGGUGACUCUGAAUAACUUUCAGCUGAUCGCACGGUCUCCGUACCGGCGACGCAUCUUUCAAAUGUCUGACUUAUCAACUGUCGAUGGUAGACUCUGCGCCUACCAUGGUUGUAACGGGUAACGGGGAAUCAGGGUUCGAUUCCGGAGAGGGAGCCUGAGAAACGGCUACCACAUCCAAGGAAGGCAGCAGGCGCGCAAAUUACCCACUCCCGGCACGGGGAGGUAGUGACGAAAAAUAACGAUACGGGACUCAUCCGAGGCCCCGUAAUCGGAAUGAGUACACUUUAAAUCCUUUAACGAGUACCAAUUGGAGGGCAAGUCUGGU
rnacentral:rRNA from 1 species